CAACUGUUGGAAUGUCAUUCAUUAUUCAGGAUUUCUUCACUUGGAACUGUUGAGCUCCUAUGAUGUAGAUGUUAAUCAGAUCAUAAAUACCAUAUCCGAAUGGAUAGUUUUGAUUAAGACCAGAGGCGUUAGGCGACCUGAAUUUCAGACUUUACUAACGGAAUCUGAAUCAGAGCAUGGUGAAAGGGUUAAUGGACGAUGUCUGAACAAUUGGCUUAGGAGAGGGAAAACUUUAAAACUAAUAUUCUCUCUAAGAAAAGAAAUGGAAGCGUUCUUGGUUUCAGUAGGGGCAACAACAGUCCACUUCUCAGACAAACAAUGGCUUUGUGACUUUGGCUUCUUGGUGGACAUUAUGGAACACCUUCGAGAACUCAGUGAAGAAUUACGAACACAAGUUUGGCCCUAUCAAAAACGAUGAGGAAAAAAGAUUGCACUCCAGGAUUAGGAGGUGUGAGAUAUUUUAGCUUUUUUGUCUUAUCUGCGUGGGUAUUGCUGCUUUAUUUUAAAAAAUCC
rnacentral:lncRNA from 1 species